rnacentral:lncRNA from 1 species
UGAUAACGAUGAUACGCUGCGUAGAGGGGAAUACUUGGGUGGGUGAAGCAGGUUGCAGGUUCAUCCACAUUUAGUCUGCAAUUCCAUUUCUGCAAUCUGAAAAUGCCAGGUGUACUUUGGUUGUGUGUGCAGUGGCGAGUGCAGGUAACGCGCAGCAGAGCUAGAGUACGGAUGGAAUUUAUCGCAACAAAUAUUGCUUGUACGGG